rnacentral:rRNA from 1 species
CCUACGGGUGGCAGCAGUGAGGAAUAUUGGUCAAUGGCCGUAAGACUGAACCAGCCAAGUCGCGUGAGGGAGGAAGGUACUAUGGAUCGUAAACUUCUUUUAUCGGGGAAUAAAGGUCUGCACGUGUGGAUGUUUGCAUGUACCCUAUGAAUAAGCAUCGGCUAACUCCGUGCCAGCAGCCGCGGUAAUACGGAGGAUGCGAGCGUUAUCCGGAUUUAUUGGGUUUAAAGGGUGCGUAGGUUGUUUUUUAAGUCAGCGGUGAAAGUCUGUGGCUCAACCAUAAAAUUGCCGUUGAAACUGGAAGACUUGAGUGUGUGAGAGGUAGGCGGAAUGCGUGGUGUAGCGGUGAAAUGCAUAGAUAUCACGCAGAACUCCGAUUGCGAAGGCAGCUUACUAAGCCAUAACUGACACUGAAGCACGAAAGCGUGGGGAUCAAACAGGAUUAGAUACCCGUGUAGUC